rnacentral:rRNA from 1 species
GACGAACGCUGGCGGCGUGCUUAACACAUGCAAGUCAAGGGGGCCCGGUAGCAAUACUGGGCAACCGGCGAACGGGUGCGUAACACGUGAGCAACCUACCGAAAUGUGGGGGAUAGCCGGCCUAACGGCCGAGUAAUACCGCAUACGCUCUCGAUGAGGCAUUUCAUUGAGAGGAAACCUACGGGACAUUUCGAGGGGCUCGCGGCCUAUCAGCUAGUUGGCGAGGUAACGGCUCACCAAGGCAACGACGGGUAGCUGGUCUGAGAGGAUGGCCAGCCACAUUGGGACUGAGAUACGGCCCAGACUCCUACGGGAGGCAGCAGUGGGGAAUCUUGCGCAAUGGCCUAACGGCUGACGCAGCGACGCCGCGUGUGGGAUGAAGCUCUUCGGAGUGUAAACCACUGUUGCCCGGGACGAAUAGCUCGAUUAAUCGAGCCUGACGGUACCGGGUGAGGAAGCACCGGCUAACUCCGU